CAGUCGAACGGUGAGCCAAGCUUGCUUGGUGGAUCAGUGGCGAACGGGUGAGUAACACGUGAGCAACCUGCCCUGGACUCUGGGAUAAGCGCUGGAAACGGCGUCUAAUACUGGAUAUGAGACGUGAUCGCAUGGUCGUGUUUGGAAAGAUUUUUCGGUCUGGGAUGGGCUCGCGGCCUAUCAGCUUGUUGGUGAGGUAAUGGCUCACCAAGGCGUCGACGGGUAGCCGGCCUGAGAGGGUGACCGGCCACACUGGGACUGAGACACGGCCCAGACUCCUACGGGAGGCAGCAGUGGGGAAUAUUGCACAAUGGGCGAAAGCCUGAUGCAGCAACGCCGCGUGAGGGAUGACGGCCUUCGGGUUGUAAACCUCUUUUAGCAGGGAAGAAGCGAAAGUGACGGUACCUGCAGAAAAAGCGCCGGCUAACUACGUGCCAGCAGCCGCGGUAAUACGUAGGGCGCAAGCGUUAUCCGGAAUUAUUGGGCGUAAAGAGCUCGUAGGCGGUUUGUCGCGUCUGCUGUGAAAUCCCGAGGCUCAACCUCGGGCCUGCAGUGGGUACGGGCAGACUAGAGUGCGGUAGGGGAGAUUGGAAUUCCUGGUGUAGCGGUGGAAUGCGCAGAUAUCAGGAGGAACACCGAUGGCGAAGGCAGAUCUCUGGGCCGUAACUGACGCUGAGGAGCGAAAGGGUGGGGAGCAAACAGGCUUARAUACCCUGGUAGUCCACCCCGUAAACGUUGGGAACUAGUUGUGGGGACCAUUCCACGGUUUCCGUGACGCAGCUAACGCAUUAAGUUCCCCGCCUGGGGAGUACGGCCGCAAGGCUAAAACUCAAAGGAAUUGACGGGGACCCGCACAAGCGGCGGAGCAUGCGGAUUAAUUCGAUGCAACGCGAAGAACCUUACCAAGGCUUGACAUAUACGAGAACGGGCCAGAAAUGGUCAACUCUUUGGACACUCGUAAACAGGUGGUGCAUGGUUGUCGUCAGCUCGUGUCGUGAGAUGUUGGGUUAAGUCCCGCAACGAGCGCAACCCUCGUUCUAUGUUGCCAGCACGUAAUGGUGGGAACUCAUGGGAUACUGCCGGGGUCAACUCGGAGGAAGGUGGGGAUGACGUCAAAUCAUCAUGCCCCUUAUGUCUUGGGCUUCACGCAUGCUACAAUGGCCGGUACAAAGGGCUGCAAUACCGUGAGGUGGAGCGAAUCCCAAAAAGCCGGUCCCAGUUCGGAUUGAGGUCUGCAACUCGACCUCAUGAAGUCGGAGUCGCUAGUAAUCGCAGAUCAGCAACGCUGCGGUGAAUACGUUCCCGGGUCUUGUACACACCGCCCGUCAAGUCAU
rnacentral:rRNA from 1 species